GAAUGCUGACAUAAGUAACGAUAAAGCGGGUGAAAAGCCCGCUCGCCGGAAGACCAAGGGUUCCUGUCCAACGUUAAUCGGGGCAGGGUGAGUCGACCCCUAAGGCGAGGCCGAAAGGCGUAGUCGAUGGGAAACAGGUUAAUAUUCCUGUACUUGGUGUUACUGCGAAGGGGGGACGGAGAAGGCUAUGUUGGCCGGGCGACGGUUGUCCCGGUUUAAGCGUGUAGGCUGGUUUUCCAGGCAAAUCCGGAAAACCAAGGCUGAGGCGUGAUGACGAGGCACUACGGUGCUGAAGCGACAAAUGCCCUGCUUCCAGGAAAAGCCUCUAAGCAUCAGGUAACAUCAAAUCGUACCCCAAACCGACACAGGUGGUCAGGUAGAGAAUACCAAGGCGCUUGAGAGAACUCGGGUGAAGGAACUAGGCAAAAUGGUGCCGUAACUUCGGGAGAAGGCACGCUGAUAUGUAGG
rnacentral:rRNA from 1 species